AUUGAACACUGGCGGCAGGCCUAACACAUGCAAGUCGAGCGAGCGGCGGACGGGUGAGUAAUGUCUGGGAAGCUGCCUGAUGGAGGGGGAUAACUACUGGAAACUGUAGCUAAUACCGCAUACCAUCAGAUGUGCCCAGAUGGGAUUAGCUAGUAGGUGGGAUAACGGCUCACCUAGGCGACGAUCCCUAGCUGGUCUGAGAGGAUGACCAGCCUCACUGGUACUGAGACACGGUCCAGACUCCUACGGGAGGCAUCAGUGGGGAAUAUUGCACAAUGGGCGCAAGCCUGAUGCAGCCAUGCCGCGCGUGUGAAGAAGGCCUUCGGGUUGUAAAGCACUUUCAGCGGGGAGGCGUUACCCGAAGAAGAAACACCGGCCAACUCCGUGCCAGCAGCCGCGGUAAUUC
rnacentral:rRNA from 1 species